AUGGCGUCGCGAAUGGCCACGGUGGUGCUCGCCGGAGCCCUCCCCGUACCCCCGCGCGCUCCCACGGCCGCGGCCGGCGGCACCAAGUUCGUCGUGUGGACGAAGCGCCCGAGCUUCCACCACGGCAUUCGCUGCGGCGUCGCCCGUGCCCCGCGCAGCCGCCCGCAGCACGCCUCCUCUCCAAGCACGGCUGAGGUAGCUGCAACUCUUACUCCGAACCACGUCUUCCGAGGUCUCCGGAGGCCUUAUCUCCACCUGAAUGGUCUGGUUCAGGAGGGAGUUCUCGAGCUGCUCAAGAGCGCGGUCGCGGCAAUUGCUAUCAUCGCCCAGAUUUCCGUGGCGCUGCCGGCGAACGCGGUCCUCUACUCGCCGGACACGAACGUGCCCAGGACGGGGGAGCUCGCGCUGCGAAGGGCCAUCCCUGCCAACCCAAGCAUGAAGACCAUACAGAACUCGUUGGAGGACAUCUCGUACCUGCUGAGGAUACCACAGAGGAAGCCGUAUGGCUCCAUGGAGGGGGAUGUCAAGAAGGCCAUGCAGAUAGCAACUGAAAACAAGGAGGCAAUGUUGGCAAGCAUGCCUGCAGAACUCAAGGAAAAGGGCUCGGAGCUAUAUACCACUUUGCUUGAAGGGAAGGGUGGUUUACAAACUCUCUUGAAAUAUAUUAAGGAUAAGGACAAUGAUAGACUCUCCGUAGCGCUUGCUUCUUCUCUUGAUACUAUUGCUGAAUUGGAGCUGUUGCAGGCUCCAGGCUUAUCCUUUCUCUUACCUAAACAGUAUUUAGAGUACCCAAGGCUAACAGGAAGAGCAGUUGUUGAAUUCACAGUUGAGAAAGGUGAUGGCUCAACAUUCUUUCCAACUGCUGGUGGUGAACCCAAAAGUGCUGCUACAAUUCAGGUUGUAGUUGAUGGAUAUUCUGCCCCACUGACUGCUGGAAACAUUGCGAAACUGGUUUUGGAUGGGGCAUAUGAUGGUGCAACACUGAAAUCUGUGAGCCAGGCAAUUAUUGUAGACAGUGAGACCGGGAAGAAAGGGUAUACUCUUCCAUUGGAGGUCAUGCCUGCUGGACAGUUUGAACCACUAUACAGAAGCCCGCUAAGUAUUCAGGAUGGAGAAUUGCCAGUCCUUCCAAUGUCUGUAUACGGCUCUGUUGCCAUGUCACAUAGUGAGGAUUCAGAUGAAUACUCGUCACCAACCCAGUUCUUCUUCUAUCUGUAUGAUAAGAGAAAUUCUGGUUUAGGAGGAAUAUCUUUCGAGGAGGGACAAUUUUCAGUUUUUGGGUAUGCCACAGACGGAAGAGAUGUCCUUUCACAGAUUAAGGCUGGAGAUAAAAUUCGCUCGGCCAAGCUGAUACAGGGCAGGGAACGCCUUGUACUACCGGCAGCAGCUUCAGCGCCAGCCCCAGCAGAUCCAACGCUGGCUCCGGCAGAGAGCUGA
rnacentral:rRNA from 1 species